rnacentral:lncRNA from 1 species
UUUUGCAGAAAUAACUCCAGCAUGCUUGGGAGAUCUGGGGAGUUCCUCUGAAGUGCACGACUUAUUUUUUUGUUCUACUUAAAAAUCUGCUGUAAAGAAAAUCUGGAAGCGUUUUAGCAAAUGCAACAGGAGACUUCCAGUGACUUUGCUGUAAAAGAACAGUGCAAAACCAAACCAAUCCAACCCCCACCCCCUCACUUUCAGAGAGCUUUUCAGUAACCUGUCUUCUUCUCGAAGGGUUACCCUAGACAGACACGGGGGUGGGGGCCAAUUUAACAGGGAAUGGUCCGAAAAGUCUGUUUCUGCGCAAAUAAAAUCCACCCCCACUAGCAACUAUUCCACCCCUGGGAUUUCCCAGCUAUGCAAGGAGACAUUUCCUGUGCAGACUUUUUUUUUCCCCCCUUUGGUUUCUUUUCCUCCUCUCCAGUCAUCCUAGAAAAUUUAGGGUCAGCACGCCUUCUGAUUCUGGAGGCUGGGCAGCCGCCAGGCUUGCAGUCACGUGACUCGGACCUUCCUUUCACGGACCCCGUUAGGCACAGGACCACGUCAUUCCGUGGUCAGGCACAGCUGCCCUCAGACCACGAGACCACCCCCUUCUCCCCCAUUCAAGAGGCAGAGGCUUUCAGAACUUCAGCUCAAGCAAGAAGCAGCCUCCCUGACCCCAGAGAUCAAAGACCCCGUGCAGCAGGACGUGAGGAUGCAGUCCAUUGUCUGAGCUUGGGCUGCGGACGCAGACUCCCCCAGACUUGAGGCUCACCCCGCAGGCGUGUAUGUCUCACCCUGCUGCAGACCGGAAGUCUGAGACUGAGAUGUAGCUUCUGGUGAGACCUCUCUGCCUGAUGUGCAGGCGGCCCCCUUCUUGGGGUGUCCCCGCUUGGUGGAGAGGAGAGGGGGAGCCUGGGUCUCUCCUCCUGGUUUCACAAGGACCUUCAGCCCAUCAGGGGGGCCCCACACUCUUGACCUCAUCUCAGCCUCAUCCCGUCCCCAAGGCAUCACUUCCUAAUACCAUCACCCUGGGGACAACUGCUCUCCCACUUGUGAAUAAUAGAGGGGUACCCGCCAGUCCCUGGCACACAUAUUGUCAACACGCUGGCUCUCGAGGAGAGAUGCUGGGGGUCCUGUUGUGACACUAUAACUUAGGAAGCAGCUUCAAUCUGCCAUCUGGACACGGAGCCUCCCCCUUGGAUGAAAGCCCUGAGGGUUUCCUGGACACUUCUUAGGAGAAACGGAGCCAGUCCAUACUCGGGGCAUCAGACACGACGUAUGGUAAGGUUCAUUCCUGGAUAUCGAGCAGCCCCUGGCCAGGAGCCAGGCUCAGGCAGGGCACCUGGAAUGUUCCCCUCCAGGAGGCCCGCUCCCCCGUUUUUCCCUUCACUCUUAGGUUUUACGCAGCCUUUCUCAGCCCUGCCCUUUCCUCCCAGGUGGGCGGCGCUGACAGCCCCCACCUGACUCCUCAAGGACCCUUCUAUCCCAGGUCAGAUUCCUCCUGGAAGCCGGAAUACCUCCUCUGCUUCUGCGCGAGGUCACGCCGUCUUCUCCGGCCUGUUUGUCGCCCUCUCCGUUGGCCGCUUCUCACUUGCCCCAGCCGGGCACCACGGGGCUCCCCAAAGUGCUGGUCCCGGCCCAGCCCCCUCAGGCUCUCCAAAUGGGAGGGGAGCCUUCCACCUUUUUUUGGCAGGAGGCUUCUGG